rnacentral:rRNA from 1 species
AUUGAACGCUGGCGGCAGGCCUAACACAUGCAAGUCGAGCGGUAGAGAGAAGCUUGCUUCUCUUGAGAGCGGCGGACGGGUGAGUAAUGCCUAGGAAUCUGCCUAGUGGUGGGGGAUAACGUUCGGAAACGGACGCUAAUACCGCAUACGUCCUACGGGAGAAAGCGGGGGAUCUUCGGACCUCGCGCCAUUAGAUGAGCCUAGGUCGGAUUAGCUAGUUGGUGAGGUAAUGGCUCACCAAGGCGACGAUCCGUAACUGGUCUGAGAGGAUGAUCAGUCACACUGGAACUGAGACACGGUCCAGACUCCUACGGGAGGCAGCAGUGGGGAAUAUUGGACAAUGGGCGAAAGCCUGAUCCAGCCAUGCCGCGUGUGUGAAGAAGGUCUUCGGAUUGUAAAGCACUUUAAGUUGGGAGGAAGGGCAGUAACCUAAUACGUUAUUGUUUUGACGUUUACCGACAGAAUAAGCACCGGCUAACUUCGUGCCAGCAGCCG